CCCACGCGGCCGCACCGCAGCAGCCAGCAGCAGACUCCCAUCCCAUCCUUAUCCUCUUCCACCCUUCCUCCUCGAGUCUACUCACCACAACACUUCCUCUCGAGCCAUAGCCAGCCAGCAAGCUAGUGAACCCCGGCAGCGGGCAGACGGAGCGCGACGCCGCCCCGAACAAGCCGAGCCUCCGCGGCUUCGAGGUGAUCGACGCCGCCAAGGCCGCCGUGGAGCGGAGCUGCCUGCGCACCGUCUCCUGCGCCGACAUCAUCGCCUUCGCCGCCCGCGACAGCAUCAGCCUCACCGGCAGCGUCUCGUACCAGGUCCCCACUGGCCGCGCGCUGUGCCCGGCGAACACGACGCGGGAGACGCCGAUCACGACGGCCAUGGACCCCGGGACGCCCAACGUGCUGGACAACAACUACUACAAGCUGCUGCCCCGCGGCAUGGGGCUCUUCUUCUCCGACAACCAGCUGCGCGUGGACCACUCCACCACGGAAGAUGUUUAAAGCCAAGCCAGCAGCAGCGCGCGCGGUGGGAAGAGACAGACGAGCGAGCAGGAGCACAUGUGGCCCGAGGCAAAGCACGCGCGGCGCGUUGGCCAGCAGCUCGCGCGGUAGUGCACGCGACGCCGGCAACUUCCGCAAGCUGCUGGAUGGGCAGCUCAAGAAGCUCGUGGCCACGGGGAAGCUGACCCGUGUGAAGAACUCGUUCAAGCUGGCCGCCGCCGGACGGGAGCUGGCCUAGGGUGAUUUUUUUCUCUCUUUUUUUUCUUAUUUUUCAGAAAUAGAUAUCAUGUGGGAUUGUGUGGAUUGGAUCUAUCUUGUAAACAAUUUUUUGGAUGAUUUGUGGAACGAUUCUUUGGAGCAUGUGGUUGAUUGGAGUAUUUUGUAUCAAUGGAUUUAAUAUUUUGUGAACGAUUCUUUGAAA